rnacentral:rRNA from 1 species
AUGGUGUGUCCCCGAUUUUGCCUUCUUCCUCGGCAACUUGGCCCAAUCUGCUUGUCCCUGACAAGAUUGCAUUUGGCGCAGCUGGACUGGAUGGUGCCCCCGAGAUUCAGAUGCGGAGCCGGCGCGCGCCGGCGGCUGGCCCCGCUGCUGCUGCUCCUGGCCCUCGCUCCGGCCGCCGUGGCGGCCGUGGGCGGCGACGUGGAGUACCCGCAUUGCAGCUGCGACGGCGGGGGCGGCGGCGGGUUCUGGAGCAUGGACAACAUCUUCCGGUGGCAGAAGGUGAGCGACCUGCUGAUCGCGGCGGCCUACUUCUCCAUCCCGCUCGAGAUCCUCUACUUCGUGGCCGGGCUCCGCCACCUGCUCCCGUUCCGGUGGGUGCUGGUCCAGUUCGGCGCCUUCAUCGUGCUCUGCGGCCUCACCCACCUGCUCGCCGCCUUCACCUACGAGCCCCACCCCUUCGUGCUCGUGCUGCUGCUCACCGUCGCCAAGUUCCUCACCGCGCUCGUUUCCUUCCUCACCGCCAUCACGUUGCUCACGCUCAUCCCGCAGCUGCUCCGCGUCAAGGUCCGCGAGAGCCUGCUCUGGAUCAAGGCCCGCGAGCUCGACCGCGAGGUCGACCUCAUGAAGCAGCAGGAGGAGGCGAGCUGGCACGUCAGGAUGCUCACGCAGGAGAUCCGCAAGUCGCUCGACCGCCACACCGUGCUCUACACCACGCUCAUCGAGCUCUCCCGCGUGCUCGGCCUCACCAACUGUGCCGUCUGGAUGCCCUCCGCGGCUGCCAGCGACGGCAAGGUUACGAUGCACCUCACCCAUGAGCUCCGGCGCGGGGGCAGCGAUGAGGGGCUCGUCGUUAUUGGAGUGGACGACGUGGAUGUUGUCGAGGUCCGGAGGAGCGACGGCGUGAAGCUGCUAGGCCCGGGCUCGGCGCUCGCGGCGGCUAGCGGUGGGGGCAAGGAGGACACGGGGACCGUGGCGGCGAUACGGAUGCCGAUGCUCAAGGUGUCGGACUUCAAGGGUGGCACGCCUGAGGUGAUCCAGACGAGCUACGCCGUGCUGGUGCUGGUGCCGCCUGCGGACAAGACCUGGGGCGCACACGAGACGGAGAUCGUCGAGGUGGUUGCCGACCAGGUGGCUGUCGCGCUCUCGCACGCGUCGCUGCUCGAGGAGUCGCAGGCCAUGCGUGACCGUCUCGCUGAGCAGAACCGCGAGCUGCUGCAGGCGCGGCGGGACACGCUCAUGGCGAACGAGGCCCGGGACGCAUUCCAGCGCGUCAUGAGCCAGGGGAUGCGCCGGCCGAUCCACUCCAUCCUCGGCCUCGUGUCCGUGGUGCAGGAGGAUGACCUGACGCCCGAGCAGAAGCUCGUCGUUGACACCAUGGGCCGGACGGCCACCGUCGUCUCCACGCUCAUCAACGACGUCAUGGAGAUGUCGGCCACCAACCGGGAGCGCUUCCCGCUGGAGACGCGGCCGUUCCAGCUGCACUCCAUGAUCAGGGACGCCGCCUGCGUCUCGCGGUGCCUCUGUGACUUCAGGGGGUUUGGCUUCGCCGUGCACGUCGAGAACACGCUGCCGAACCUUGUCAUCGGCGACGAGAGGAGGAUCUUCCAUGUCAUCCUUCACAUGGUUGGCAACCUCAUCAGCCGGAUUGACUCGGGGCACGUCAUGUUCCGGGUGCGUGCCGACGACGAGGUGGCGGAGGACACCCUUGGACAGAGGUGGGAUCCAUGGAGGCCAAGCUACUCGAGUGGGUACUCUUCGGUGAAGUUUGUCAUCGGGGUGAAGAGCCAGCAGAGCCUCGGCCCGAUGAUCCCGCCCACGGGGCAGUUCAAACGGAAGCCGAGUGGCGAGGGCUUCGAUCUCCGGCUCAGCUUCAGCAUGUGCAGAAAGCUUGUGCAGAUGAUGAGAGGCAACAUAUGGGCGGUGCUAGACGGGCAAGGGCUCCCGGAGAGUAUGACCCUGGUGCUGAGGUUCCAGCUACAGCCACCGGCGCCGCUAGUGUCAUCGAGCACCAGUGGAGGAUCAUUCGAGCGGCAAUAUGCGUCGCCGUCGUGCCAGCUGACUGGACUGAAGAUCCUGCUCAUAGACGAUGAUGACAUCAACAUGGUCGUUGCGCGGAAGCUCCUGGAGAAGCUCGGCUGUGUGGUUUCCUCGCUGCCCUCUGGGUCGGGGUUCCUGAACUCUGUCGGCCCCUCGUCGGGCGCGUACCAGGUGGUCCUGGUGAACCUCGAGAUGACGCGGGUGAACGCGCUGGACGUCGCGGUGAGGGUCCAGCAGUACCGCAGUGGCCGCUGGCCGUUCGUGAUGGCCAUGACGUCGGAGCAGAACGCGUGGGAGAAGUGCGCGCAGUCCGGGAUCAACGGCAUCCUCAGGAAGCCGGUGGUCAUGCUGGAGGCGAAGGAGGAGCUCACCCGGAUUCUUCAGAGCGCAUGA